rnacentral:rRNA from 1 species
AUUGAACGCUGGCGGCAGGCCUAACACAUGCAAGUCGAGCGGAUGAAGGGAGCUUGCUCCUGGAUUCAGCGGCGGACGGGGGAGUAAUGCCUAGGAAUCUGCCUGGUAGUGGGGGAUAACGUCCGGAAACGGGCGCUAAUACCGCAUACGUCCUGAGGGAGAAAGUGGGGGAGCUUCGGACCCCGCGCUCUCAGAUUAGCCUAGGUCGGAUUAGCUAGUUGGUGGGGUAAAGGCCUACCAAGGCGACGAUCCGUAACUGGUCUGAGAGGAUGAUCAGUCACACUGGAACUGAGACACGGUCCAGACUCCUACGGGAGGCAGCAGUGGGGAAUAUUGGACAAUGGGCGAAAGCCUGAUCCAGCCAUGCCGCGUGUGUGAAGAAGGUCUUCGGAUUGUAAAGCACUUUAAGUUGGGAGGAAGGGCAGUAAGUUAAUACCUUGCUGUUUUGACGUUACCAACAGAAUAAGCACCGGCUAACUUCGUG